rnacentral:rRNA from 1 species
GAUGAACGCUAGCGGCAGGCCUAACACAUGCAAGUCGAGGGGCAGCAUUUCUAGCUUGCUAGAAGAUGGCGACCGGCGCACGGGUGCGUAACGCGUAUACAAUCUACCUAUUACUGAGGUAUAGCCCGAAGAAAUUUGGAUUAAGCCCUCAUAGUAUUAUAGAAUCGCAUGAUUUUAUAAUUAAAGGUUACGGUAAUAGAUGAGUAUGCGUCCUAUUAGCUAGAUGGUGAGGUAAAGGCUCACCAUGG